GAUGAACGCUGGCGGCGUGCCUAAUACAUGCAAGUCGAGCGAACAGACGAGGAGCUUGCUCCUCUGACGUUAGCGGCGGACGGGUGAGUAACACGGGGAUAACCUACCUAUAAGACUGGGAUAACUUCGGGAAACCGGAGCUAAUACCGGAUAAUAUAUUGAACCGCAUGGUUCAAUAGUGAAAGACGGUUUUGCUGUCACUUAUAGAAGGAUCCGCGCCGCAUUAGCUAGUUGGUAAGGUAACGGCUUACCAAGGCAACGAUGCGUAGCCGACCUGAGAGGGUGAUCGGCCACACUGGAACUGAGACACGGUCCAGACUCCUACGGGAGGCAGCAGUAGGGAAUCUUCCGCAAUGGGCGAAAGCCUGACGGAGCAACGCCGCGUGAGUGAUGAAGGUCUUCGGAUCGUAAAACUCUGUUAUUAGGGAAGAACAAAUGUGUAAGUAACUAUGCACGUCUUGACGGUACCUAAUCAGAAAGCCACGGCUAACUACGUG
rnacentral:rRNA from 1 species